UUGCAGCCAUAUGUCAUUGAAACACAGGUUCUCAUAUGAUCACUGAUGUUAAGCAAUGCUGAGCCUGGUCAGUAUUUAAAUGAGUGACUUCUUGGGAAUACUAGACGC